rnacentral:rRNA from 1 species
GGGUUGUGAGGUUAAGCGACUAAGCGUACACGGUGGAUGCCCUGGCAGUCAGAGGCGAUGAAGGACGUGCUAAUCUGCGAAAAGCGUCGGUAAGGUGAUAUGAACCGUUAUAACCGGCGAUGUCCGAAUGGGGAAACCCAGUGCAAUUCGUUGCACUAUCGUUUGAUGAAUACAUAGUCAAAUGAGGCGAACCGGGGGAACUGAAACAUCUAAGUACCCCGAGGAAAAGAAAUCAACCGAGAUUCCCCCAGUAGCGGCGAGCGAACGGGGAGCAGCCCGGAGUCUGAAUCAGCUUGUGUGUUAGUGGAAGCGUCUGGAAAGUCGCAGGGUACAGGGUGAUACUCCCGUACACUAAAACACACAGGCUGUGAACUCGAAGAGUAGGGCGGGACACGU